AUUGAACGCUGGCGGCAGGCCUAACACAUGCAAGUCGAGCGGAUGAAGAGAGCUUGCUCUCUGAUUUAGCGGCGGACGGGUGAGUAAUGCCUAGGAAUCUGCCAGGUAGUGGGGGAUAACGUUCCGAAAGGAACGCUAAUCCCGCAUACGUCCUACGGGAGAAUGCAGGGGACCUUCGGGCCUUGCGCUAUCAGAUGAGCCUAGGUCGGAUUAGCUAGUUGGUGAGGUAAUGGCUCACCAAGGCGACGAUCCGUAACUGGUCUGAGAGGAUGCUCAGUCACACUGGAACGGAGACACGGUCCAGACUCCUACGGGAGGCAGCAGUGGGGAAUAUUGGACAAUGGGCGAAAGCCUGAUCAAGCCAUGCCGCGUGUAUGAAGAAGGUCUUCGGAUUGUAAAGCACUGUAAGUUGGGAGGAAGGGCAUUAACCUAAUACGUUAGUGUUUUGACGUUACCAACAGAAUAAGCACCGGCUAACUUCGUGCCAGCCGCCGCCGUAA
rnacentral:rRNA from 1 species